rnacentral:rRNA from 1 species
GAAGGCGGCUGUGCCCGAAAGGGAACUGGAACACAGGUGCUGCAUGGUUGUCGUCAGCUCGUGUCGUGAGAUGUUGGGUUAAGUCCCGCAACGAGCGCAACCCUUGUCAUUAGUUGCUACAUUCAGUUGGGCACUCUAAUGAGACUGCCGGUGACAAACCGGAGGAAGGUGGGGAUGACGUCAAGUCCUCAUGGCCCUUAUGGGUAGGGCUUCACACGUAAUACAAUGGCGCGUACAGAGGGUUGCCAAGCCGCGAGGUGGAGCCGAUCCCACAAAGCGCGUCGUAGUCCGGAUUGCAGUCUGCAACUCGACUGCAUGAAGUCGGAAUCGCUAGUAAUCGCGGAUCAGCAUGUCGCGGUGAAUACGUUCCCGGGUCUUGUACACACCGCCCGUCACACCAUGGGAGUGGGUUUCACCAGGAGCCGGUCGCCUAACCGCAAGGAGGGCGCCGACCACGGUGAGAUUCAUGACUGGGGUGAAGUCGUAACAAGGUAACCGUAA